rnacentral:rRNA from 1 species
UACGUAGGGUGCGAGCGUUAUCCGGAAUUACUGGGUUUAAAGGGUGCGUAGGCGGCUAUGUAAGUCAGGAGUGAAAGUUUGCGGCUCAACCGUAAAAUUGCUUUUGAUACUGCAUGGCUGGAAUUAGGAUGAGGUCAGCGGAAUGUGGCAUGUAGCGGUGAAAUGCAUAGAUAUGCCAUAGAACACCAAUUGCGAAGGCAGCUCGCUACACUAUUAUUGACGCUGAGGCACGAAAGCGUGGGGAUCAAACAGG